rnacentral:rRNA from 1 species
GAUGAACGCUGGCGGCGUGCCUAAUACAUGCAAGUCGAGCGAACAGACGAGGAGCUUGCUCCUCUGACGUUAGCGGCGGACGGGUGAGUAACACGUGGAUAACCUACCUAUAAGACUGGGAUAACUUCGGGAAACCGGAGCUAAUACCGGAUAAUAUAUUGAACCGCAUGGUUCAAUAGUGAAAGACGGUUUUGCUGUCACUUAUAGAUGGAUCCGCGCCGCAUUAGCUAGUUGGUAAGGUAACGGCUUACCAAGGCAACGAUGCGUAGCCGACCUGCGAGGGUGAUCGGCCACACUGGAACUGAGACACGGUCCAGACUCCUACGGGAGGCAGCAGUAGGGAAUCUUCCGCAAUGGGCGAAAGCCUGACGGAGCAACGCCGCGUGAGUGAUGAAGGUCUUCGGAUCGUAAAGCUCUGUUAUUAGGGAAGAACAAAUGUGUAAGUAACUAUGCACGUCUUGACGGUACCUAAUCAGAAAGCCACGGCUAACUACGUG